CAGACGAUGCGUCAUGCAUAUCAAUAAGCGGAGGAAAAGAAACUAACAAGGAUUCCCCUAGUAACGGCGAGUGAAGCGGGAAGAGCUCAAAUUUGAAAUCUUAAAGGGUUUCCCUUUACGAAUUGUAGUUUAAAGAAGUGUUUUCUGUUGAGGUUUUGGUAAAAGUUCUUUGGAAUAGGACAUCAUAGAGGGUGAGAAUCCCGUAUUUGACCUUUACUUUCAACUUUGUGAUACACUUUCAAAGAGUCGGAUUGUUUGGGAAUGCAGUCCAAAAUGGGUGGUAAAUUUCAUCUAAAGCUAAAUAUUGGCGAGAGACCGAUAGCGAACAAGUACCGUGAGGGAAAGAUGAAAAGAACUUUGAAAAGAGAGUUAAACAGUACGUGAAAUUGUCAAAAGGGAAGCGUUUGACACCAGUGUUGUUUUUCUGAAAAUCAAUUAAAGAACUGUUUAUGCUAAGCUGUUUAGACUUUAUCAGCUAUCUGUUUAGUUUUGAGCUUUUCUUUAAUGCACUUUUCAGUUAACAAGUCAACAUCAAUUUCUUUUGCUGUAAAAAAGCUUGAGGAAGGUGGCUUGAGAUUCGUCUUAAGUGUUUAUAGCCUCUUGCCUAUGCAGUCGGAGAGAUUGAGGUCUGCAGCGUAGAUCCUUCGGGGCUAAAUGCAUUUGUGCUAAGUUAUAGCAUUUCAUAGACAACUUGUUGACUAUGAUUUGUCUUGUAGCUUACUCGCUUAUGUUAUUUUACCUACGCUUAGGAUGUUGAAUCUGUGCGAGACUAC
rnacentral:rRNA from 1 species